rnacentral:rRNA from 1 species
UACGGAGGGGGCUAGCGUUGUUCGGAAUUACUGGGCGUAAAGCGCGCGUAGGCGGCUUUGUAAGUUAGAGGUGAAAGCCCAGGGCUCAACCCUGGAAUUGCCUUUAAGACUGCAUCGCUUGAACACCGGAGAGGUAAGUGGAACUCCGAGUGUAGAGGUGAAAUUCGUAGAUAUUCGGAAGAACACCAGUGGCGAAGGCGACUUACUGGACGAUUGUUGACGCUGAGGUGCGAAAGCGUGGGGAGCAAACAGG